CCUGUGCCACACUCCCGGUCAUGAGAAGCUGCGGAGGAGGUCCUUCUGCCCGGGUCAGCACUCGCGCAGUUACCAGCAACGCCCCCGAGCUCCCCAAGCGCAGGCAGGAGGGCCUGGAACGCGUUCAGAGAGGUGAGCUGUGCGCGCACGCCAGCUGGCACGUCCUCGAUCAGCCGCGGCGCCGUGAGGAGGUACGCCGCGAUACCGCG
rnacentral:lncRNA from 1 species